rnacentral:rRNA from 1 species
GAUGAACGCUGGCGGCGUGCCUAAUACAUGCAAGUCGGGCGAACGGACGAGAAGCUUGCUUUUCUGAUGUUAGCGGCGGACGGGUGAGUAACACGUGGAUAACCUACCUAUAAGACUGGGAUAACUUCGGGAAACCGGAGCUAAUACCGGAUAAUAUUUUGAACCGCAUGGUUCAAAAGUGAAAGACGGUCUUGCUGUCACUUAUAGAUGGAUCCGCGCUGCAUUAGCUAGUUGGUAAGGUAACGGCUUACCAAGGCAACGAUGCAUAGCCGACCUGAGAGGGUGAUCGGCCACACUGGAACUGAGACACGGUCCAGACUCCUACGGGAGGCAGCAGUAGGGAAUCUUCCGCAAUGGGCGAAAGCCUGACGGAGCAACGCCGCGUGAGUGAUGAAGGUCUUCGGAUCGUAAAACUCUGUUAUUAGGGAAGAACAUAUGUGUAAGUAACUGUGCACAUCUUGACGGUACCUAAUCAGAAAGCCACGGCUAACUACGCG